rnacentral:rRNA from 1 species
CGGGGGAUCGCAAGACCUCGCGCGAUUGGAGCGGCCGAUAUCAGAUUAGGUAGUUGGUGAGGUAAAGGCUCACCAAGCCGACGAUCUGUAGCUGGUCUGAGAGGACGACCAGCCACACUGGGACUGAGACACGGGCCCAGACUCCUACGGGAGGCAGCAGUGGGGAAUUUUGGACAAUGGGCGCAAGCCUGAUCCAGCAAUGCCGCGUGCAGGAUGAAGGCCUUCGGGUUGUAAACUGCUUUUGUACGGAACGAAACGGUGAGCUCUAAUACAGUUUGCUAAUGACGGUACCGUAAGAAUAAGCACCGGCUAACUACGUG